rnacentral:rRNA from 1 species
UGGGGAAUAUUGCACAAUGGGGGAAACCCUGAUGCAGCGACGCCGCGUGAGCGAAGAAGGCCUUCGGGUCGUAAAGCUCUUAUAUGAGGGAAGAUAAUGACGGUACCUCAAGAAAAGCCCCGGCUAACUACGUGCCAGCAGCCGCGGUAAUACGUAGGGGGCUAGCGUUGUCCGGAAUCACUGGGCGUAAAGGGUUCGCAGGCGGAAUAACAAGUCAGAUGUGAAAGGCAUGGGCUCAACCCAUGUAAGCAUUUGAAACUGUAAUUCUUGAGAAGUGGAGAGGUAAGUGGAAUUCCUAGUGUAGCGGUGAAAUGCGUAGAUAUUAGGAGGAAUACCUGUGGCGAAGGCGACUUACUGGACACAAAUCUGACGCUGAGGAACGAAAGCGUGGGUAGCAAACAGG